GUUGCGGUUAAAAAGCUCGUAGUUGGAUUUCUGUAUGGAAGGAGUGCCCCUAUCCUUUGGAUGGAGGUUGCUGCCUUCUUUGCAUCUUCCGGAGUAGGUGUUCCUCACUUAACUGUGAGGACAUUCGCGCUCUGGACAUUUACUUUGAGGAAAAGAGAGUGCUUCAAGCAGGCAACCGCCUGAAUACGUUAGCAUGGAAUAAUAGCAUCGGAUCAUCGUACAGCUGCUGGUGUCUGGGCGAGGAUAAAGGUGAACAGGGAUUGUUGGGGGCAUUCGUAUUUAACUGUCAGAGGUGAAAUUCUUGGAUUUGUUGAAGACGAGCUACUGCGAAAGCAUUUGCCAAAGAUGUUCUCAUUGAUCAAGAACGAAAGUUAGGUGAUCGAAGACGAUCAGAUACCGUCCUAGUCCUUAACCAUAAACUAUGCCAACUGGAGAUGGGGCGUGUUUAUUCUACUACUCUUCCUGCAUCUUGAGAGAAAUCAAAGUCUUUGGGUUCCGGGGGGAGUAUGGUCGCAAGGCUGAAACUUAAAAGGAAUUGACGGAAGGGCACC
rnacentral:rRNA from 1 species